AAGACUUGAGGAACACUGAGUUGAGGAUAAAGUGCUGCCCUGAAGCGAAGGUAAAUUUUAAUAUUAAAAGAAAAUGUCCCAUACCACCCUCCAAAAAACUAGCUAAUUCUCCAUCCCUGAUGCCACAUAUCUGAUAGAGUUCUUCCGCAUCCUGCAAACAUUACUGAUAUCAUCUGUAAUUAAAUUAAUUAUGCUUCAGUACUCAUUAUGCUGUUUAAUUCCCCAGUUCCACAGCAUGCACAGCCAAGUUCAAAUUUCCAAGUAAUGAUGAUGUCAGGUCCUCUAAAAUCCAUCCACUUAUAUAUUUCCCCAAAUCUAGGUCAUAUCAUCAUCUCAACUCAUCAUAAUUUAUACUCUCUUAUAAAUCUACAUUGAAUUGCUGAGCCGUGUUUGCCAAUGUCAUAUGAACCAGAAGAUUAAAGAUGAUAAAAAGUCAGGCUAUAAACGUAGAUUGCAUAAACUAUUAUGAAUAAAUGCUUUUUUAAACCUCCCUAGUCUGCAUGAAUUAAAAAGUACACUCUUUUCACAAAUGAUCCAAAGAUCAGUGAGCGCUGCUAAAAGUCAAGGCAUUCUAGGGUGAUAUUUGCACACACACUGGGUACGCCCAAAAACCUUAAACCAUCCAUAAUAAUGCGUCCUCUACCACACUCCACUCCACACCUCAACAAUUAAAAUGGAGAAGAGAUAAAGUCACCCUAUUUUUAGAUCUCCUUCAGGAAUUAAAAUAUGCCAAGGUUUCCCCGUCCACUAAAAUAGCAAAACUGCCCCAGCAAUUCUUGUGGAUCUACACCCCUUGAUAGAAGUACUCAAUUCCUGUUAUCAGUAAAUCUAACAAUCCUUAACCUGUGUCCAGAAUCAAUGAUUCCAGCACAUGAUAGGUUAAUGGAUCUGCAAUCCUUCAGACACUUGCAACAAAAUUUCUAUGGGAUCAACACCACAGACCCUUCAAGUGAGCCUUUCUUUUGGAUCUGCGAUCCUUCAGCCACUUGGAACCAAAUUUCUUUGGGAUCAACACCAAGGACCAAGUGAGUCUUUCCUUUUUUUUUUUUUUUAGUAAUUAAAGCUUAACCAGCACUUAGUCAUGAUCAAUCAAGUCCCAUGGUUAAUCCUAAAAUGAGGGGAAUACCUCCAGCCUAGGAAAAUUUAGUUUCAUUUACAUAUUAUUCUGCAAGGGGUCUAGACAUCUUGAUAGCCUCCUCAAAUAACUAGGGUCAGAAGUGCUCUGUGCCAAAAGGACUCCUAGCCUCAUCGGUAAAUAUAAAUCAGACAUGUUGUAUCCAGUGUCUUCUUAUUUGAUAAUCUCUUGAUCGCUAUUGAAUAAAGAGGGUGUAUACCUACUCCAUGAGGGUAUACUAUUCAAAUUGGAAAUAUCGAUGGCCCCUUAUUCUGUAUACUUGUCUCUUGAACAUUGGUUCCAACUGCAUUCUUCCUUCAGUGAAAGCUCUCUACACUACUUCAAUAUUUCGCUGUAUCCAGUCUAUCUCCCUGAACAGGCUUCCUCUAGUGCGUCAAAGACCUUGACAUACAAAGUCAGUCUUUUCCAUAUAUCUCAAUGCGAACCCUAAUAGAUACCCUUUUGGCCAGGUAUCAUCCCAACCUUUCCAUCCUCAUUCUCAGCAUACCAUUGCCAAAGAGCAUCCUGAGUUGUUGGUCCAAAUCCUCUUAACUAGCUCUUGAUGAGCUUCAUCUAGCAUCCAGUAUAAUUUCAAAACAGAAUGUAUUUUAUGUAGUACCAUGGGCAGGUUUGAGUAAAAUAGGCUGAUGAUAGGCUACUAAUCUUGUCAAACACGAAGCUUAUAUCAUCAGAUAAUGGUCAUCUCACUAGACCAAAACUUAAAAUCUGCCCUGCUUUGAAGAAGAAGAAGAAGAAGAAUGUCCUUUAAAAUCUGAAGUAAAAACCACAUAAUGGCAGAAAAAUCACCAAAGGCUGUAUCAGAAUAAAGUCAGCAGAGCCCUCUCUUUCUCAUCCCAACUAAUCCUAAGAUGACCUAUCCACACUGAACGAAACAGCAUUAAAAGUCUCUCCCAACACACCAUGGUCAGCAUCAACCUGAAAUUUAUUGAGAAAUCACGGGUUUCCCUCCCUUCUCUAGUGAAGGGCCUCAUAUUCCAGAGAUGUCCCAAACAAAACCUCAUUAGAGAUUUCCUAAAGAAAGAUAGCAAUCAACCGCUUUUUCCUGAUCUGUUGUUCAAUGAGCACGUCUUGUCUGAAACGUCAAGGGGAAUGCCUCCCUUGCCAACAACAUGUUCAUCAGCUCCCCCGUCCUCUUCUCCACUGGUCUGAGAAGACUCCCAACCUCACCAUCCAGCCCUUCUACCUCUGUCACCACUUUUACUGCCUCACGAUUUCCCCCUGGGGCCCAGGACGCACUAAUAAAGCUGAAAAACACAAAGAAGAUAUUCUACGGCUCAUAAAACACUUACACACCCCCAUCAAAUAUAACAAGUUAAGACAAUAAAUUUUCCAAACAAAAUUAAUCACUAGAUCACCGUAAAACUGAAAUAAUCAGAUGAUUUCUGCAAACCUUAUGUAUGCCAAAACUUAAUUUCAGAAGCAAGACACAGACAAAAGAGCACCAUAGAGUUCUCUUUGAUCAUGGAACACAAUAUGAUUGUCAAAGGAAUCGCAUAAUAUUGUAAUCCUUUCUUAAAUACCAACCUUCACCAUUGUGUCCCGCAAAAAAUCAUAUUCGAAACGUUUUAGCUGAAGUUGCAGGACAGGAGGAAAAUCAAUGAAUAAAACACCUUUCUUAGCAUCCUGAAAUGUGCAAAUAUUAAUUUUGUCAGAUAGUCUGCUUGACAGAUGAAAUCUAAUGAGAUGCAAUUGAAAGAAUCACAAAUAGCAUUCUUCAGUAGCUAUAAUGCAUAACCAUGGUUGACAUAAGAAUAGUCCACAUAAUGUAUAACUGUGAUACAGUUUUCCUCAUGGGGUAAGACGAGGGUAUGGAACCAACUAGACUGGAGAGUGUGCAUCUAUUGACUGCUUUGGCACCAGGGAAGAAGUUUAAAAACCAGGAAAAACUGACACACACUUACAUAAAAAGAGCACCGUGCAGAUUAUAGAAAUAGGCGAGUAAACUGCUAAGAAGCAAACACCUUUUAAACUGUUUACUAUACCUCUAUUUGCAUUGAGCUUAUUCGCCAUAUUUUUCACUUUAUUGACGAUGUCCCAAGAGAGAUCUAAAAAUGAUAUAUCUACAAAACCUAAAGGCGUACAAAUGUAGAUCAUGGUAUGUGCCUAUCUAGAAAACACAGACCAAAUAAAAUAACCCAAACUCAGUGUUCAUCAAAUAUCUCUGAUAAUAUGAGACCUUAAGAAUAAUAAAAAAAUAAGUAAUAUAAACAACGGUUGAGGUACAAUAAUUGAAAACUGAUUCAUUUAUUAGGCGCCAAAGAUACUUUACAGCUAUCCCACUUUUCCAGCUGGUAUUGUGUAACUGGAUCACUUUAACAGCUAAGCUUUUAUGCAAUCGAUGGGCAGAAAGCUAUUUUGACAAAGCAACCUACUUGUAGGCCAUAUUGCUCUGCAUGAUACUUGUUAUCUCCUUCGAGCUGCUCAACUUCGACAUAUUUGUCAAAAGAUGCAUAGACAUCCCGACAGCCUUUCACAUCAAGUUGGAGAUCUGCCAAAUGUUACCAAAGAUUCAAGAAGUUAGAACAAUCACAGGAAAUUUUCCAAAUUUAGAGGACAAUCCAGUCAUAGAAUAUGCACCAUAGAAUGACUCUUUUCUCGUAGACUUGUAAUCCACAUUGAUGCAUUCAAUGUAAUUCAUGUGAUGACCUUCAAACAAAUGCUGAAUAGUCCCCUCAACAACCGUUCCCUGAAGAAAACACAAAUUAGCACAGUGACAUAACAUGAUAACGGCAGGCGUCAGGAUAAGAAAUUAACAAAAAAAGAAAGAGAGACCUUCAUUUUAUCUUCCAACUUCUCGCAGAGAACCCUAUUAAGCUCUUGGACAUCAUGCUGCAUGAACGAGUCAUAGGUGUCCCAUCCAAAAGAUUUUGUAAGCUCCUUUGUAGCAACGCUAUUGUCACUGUACUGAAGCUUGUAGAAUAAGCUCUGCAAAGCUAAAGGAAUACUUCCGGAUGGCAUAUCAUUCUCUGUGGUAGGCAUAUGAUACACAGCCUGAAACGUGUAACUCAAAUAAAUGCUUCCCAUUCAAUGAAUGCUUGUAGCACCACCAAAGAGUACAGGCUAAGAAUAAAUGGCAAGUAAAAUAUCCAGUAUCCAAACCUUUCUGAAAUAAGGAAUAUGAUACAGAGUCUGAAGAAGAGAAUUCAUGUAACAGGUAGCCCCUUGAUUCUUAAGGCCAACAUAACCUGUUUCUUUCUUUGAAUCAUAUGUCCAGUAGUCGACCACUCUACGAACAGCAACCUCAGCCUCAACUAUACACGUAUCGUUGACAAGAUACCCUCUGCUUGGGUCAUAAAGUUCACUAAGGGGCAUGAAUGAUGUGAAACCCCAAUCACUUUCACGGACAUUAAAUUGGUGUUGUGUUUCUGAAAUAUGCAAAAAUCGUCAGAGGAAUUCUCCCCAAAGCUAUCAACUUGUCUUCCAUAAGAUGCACAAGAACCAACUAAUUAACAAAUUUUGAAAAAUUGAAACGAAAUCCUAAUAACAAAAGAGUCACUCGCCUGAAACAGGAUCCAAUGCGACAUCAGUGGAUUAAGGGCAAACAAGUAUUGUUCAAAAAAGAAGUGAAGAGCAUUAGUGCCACAGAAGAUUUCAUAAGAAUUUUACGGUUUGAUUUCGAAAGGUAAAAUCUUUCUAUCCGUAGAACUAAUGAUAAUUCAUGCACGCAGGACAAUAAGAACUCAAAGACACUGCAAGUAUAAAGUACGGUAGGCAUGAGAUUGUAACAUGAUUGCGACAUGGUCUUAAUAUACGGCCAUGGAUUUCAAUUGACAAGGGAGCUGUAGAUCAAAGUCUUCCAAUAAUAUGCAAUCAAAGGAUAUCUAAUACUCAAAUAUGUACCUUUCCUGAUGGUGUAUUUGUUUUGUAUCUGAUUAAUAACAGAUAAACUGAACUGAGCAUAUCUGCUCCAGCCAUAGGGCAGAUUCGCUGAGUCAGCAACAUCCAGGUACAUAGACAAGUGGUCUACAUUGUUUCCCUUUGGAAAGAUUAGCACUCGCCUGCCAAAACAUACCGUGCAAAAUUAUCAAGUUCCUCACCGGUUAUAUUUAUGCUUUGUGAGCUAAACUGCGAUAGGAAGAAAAAAAAAGUUACUAUUCAACAGUCAGCAUACCAUUUGUAUCCGCCAACAACAAAAAUCUCUGAGUAAAGCUUUUUUGUGUUCAGCCUGGAGAAGUUAUCAAUCGUCCAUGUGAACCUGGAUGACGGAGGAUCCUCCAGCUGCUGAUUCUCUGCGGUGCUAACAGUCUCUGGCUGUGGGGCAACCACUGUAGUUUAAACAGAAAGAAGAGGAAUGAGACGAGAAGGAAAAUCUGGAAGCUACUUGAAAUAAAUCACCAAGAUCAUGUUAAAAAAAGAGAACAACAACUUAUUUAUCACAAGACCAAAACAAAAUGGUUAAUGGUGCAUUUUCCAUCCGAGUGGGGUGUCAUUCCCGGUAGAUCAUAAACCCUAGACCAGUGAGAGUGCUUGGGCCUACCUUCCAUGGGCUGCGGACCUUCAACGAAAUCUGAAUGCGGCACCAGCAUCUCGUCCUCCUCCUGCUGCGGAAAACAAAUACGUACAGAGAGAGGUAGAGAGAGAGAGUGAGUGAGAGAGAGAGAGAGAGAGAGAGAGAGAGAGAGAACAGAAUCAGACAGAUCCACCAAACCCCGCGCUACCCCCGAUCGAACCCAGCGCACACAUAGCCCGAUCUCAUAGGUCGCGCAAUUUACAAGAAUUGCGCGAUUGCCAGCCCCACGGCACCGCGUCGGGCCCCGAAAGCCUAGAAGCCGGCGGGCACGGAGCCGAGCCGUCAAGAAGGCAGCGCUCGACCAGGAAGCAGGAAUGUAAUGGUUAGGUCACACGAGGGCGGACGAUGGGGAGCGCGAGCGGGAAACCCCCAUCCCCCUUCCCACUCGCCCUCCCUCCCCCGCCCCCCACACACUCGCGCGCACAGCACGAGACAUGGGGAAAGGGACAGCAGGAAUUCUGCGCUAAACUUACAUCGAGAGGGGGAGGCGUCAUCAUAGUCAUGGAAGACCACCACGGCGCAGAGGCGACGACCUCGAGCAACUGGACGCGGGCGGCCGAUCCGUCGCCGGCGCCGGCGGGGGAAUCCCCCGGGCCUCGGAAGAAGAUGAUAUAAAAGGUAGAGAGAGAGGGAGAGAGAGAGAGAGAGAGAGCGGGGGAAGAGCGGCGAGGGACGCCACCGACCGGAAGGAAGGGGAGGGGAGGAGGCUACAACGGGGUCACGAUUUAUUUCCAAUUAAAGUUUUUCCCUUCAAAGGGGCAUUCCCGGAAUUCCCAAAAUGCUCUGCUCACGUGUACGAAGAAUCCCACGUGGCGACCAUCGAACCCUAAGAGUUACGAGCCGCCUCGUAGUCGUCUGUUUGGCUCGACAUGUAACUGGUUUGCCGGACUGAGCCGCCGGUUCAGGCCCCUCCACGUCGCCCAGGUCCAACCCGUCCUAGCCUGCCACGUGCAGACCACCAGACCAUACUAACACACGAGACCACGUAUACUCAUGAUUGACAUAUCUACGUGCUAGAAGAUCAAUCACAUUUUGUACUUGUCUUAAAAUUUUCUUUGUUUCCUGCCCACGGGAUGGCUAUUACAUAAUAAUUUUAUUUAAGGAAAUGAUCUAAUUUAUUUUCUACAUGAACCCGAUUUAAAUAUAAUAAUUUUCUUCGAUUGCAUACUGAUAAGAACAUGCGUUAAUACAUGUCCAACAUAAUGUAAUAUUUGUAUCAUUUGAGUGGUCAUUUCUCCAAAGGAAAAUAUAAGUUCAUUGUUUGACAGUAAAUGAAUGAGAGAGAAUGGUUGAGUAAUAAAAGUGUUUAUAAUAAAUAUAUGCCAGUUUAUUGAUACUAAAAGUUAUUACUCAAAUACUUGGCACAAUAUUCAAAAAUAAUAUAUCACCAAGUAGACUAGAGCACAAUUAGUCAUUCAUCAGUAUAUGUAGGCCAUGUAACAUGACCGACAUACAUCUUGAGGUAAAAGUCAAAUGUUAAAGUGUACUAUGUCAAAUUAAAACCCUUCAAGAUGAUGCAACUAACAAACCCAUAUACUUCAAGAGAAGAGCGUCAACUUUUCAACCCAAAUUCAUUGUUUUUUGAGAUUUUACUAUUGCAAGUAACCAAUUAACAUUCUAAGGGGCAAUAGAUGAAGGAUUAACUAUCUAAUCAUUGGAUGAUGCCAUACUAGUGACAUUAUCUAUCUCCCUUACCUUCAGCUUCCAUAUCAUGUCUCCCUCUUCUAGCCACAUAUUGCCAAAUGCAUGUGCCACAUCAUUUUGUGGUCAUGUCCAACAUGUCAUUUGGGUAUGAUAAUGCACAAUUUUGUAAGCUAAUUAAUAAAAAUGAUAAUAAAUAUCAUGUAAAUUAAUUUCAAAGUCAAUGAGAUUAUGUGAAAAAUUACAAAAUAGAUUUUAUAACUCAUUUCAUCUAAGUUAUUUUAUUUAAAUAUUAUUAUUAAUAAAUUAUUAUUUAAUCAUUUAAUUUUUACUAACCUUACUAUUCAAGGCUGAUAACUUGCAAAAUAUUUUGAUUGAUAAUAAUAGUGCAUAAAAAUAAUAAUAAAUAAAUAUUUUUGUUAGAUUUAUUGUAAUUUUCAAACAAUUAUUAGGCUAGAUGGUGGGUUGGUUCAUCAUGCCCAAUGUAGGCCCAAUACCUACCCCAUUAUGAUGGUGGAUUAAAAGAGAGAAUAAGAGGAGAGAGAAAGGGGGCACAACAAAUACGGCACAUGCACCAGCUAGCCUCUUUGACACAAUGACAACAACAACAAGCUCUCUUCUUGAGCGACAAGUAGAGGUAGAGUCAAGCAUGAUGACAUUUAUAGUAGUGAUUUGACCUUAUUUCUCUCCCAUCUCAAACUUCUCAUGUGACAUAUGGAGAGGAACGAGAAUUUUGUAGUUUAGAAAUUUUUUUAUUUUUAUCUACUAUUUUCUAUAAUUUAUCUAAUCAUAUGUUAUUCCUUAAAUCUCUGAUUGACACAAGAAUUAAUAAGGGACUUGAUUUCAAUUAUUUAAUAUUUUCUUUAUCAUCUUACUUUAUUGUUCUUAUUCGGAUUUUUGAGUGACACAUAGAUUUUAAGAAUAAUUUAUGAAUUUUGACUGUUUUAUUGAUUCUAUCAAUAAUAUUUCCUUUACUAAUCUAUGAAUGGCAUAUGGAUAAAUAGAUGAUGAUCGUUCUAUUUUUUUUGCUUUCAAUGUAUAUUUUCAUUUAUCUUCAAGUUCUUCUAAGCUAGUGGGUGACAUAGCAUAACUAAACUAUAUUUAUUUCUUUUUUUUAUUUUAGUGUCACUCACGCUAUUAAUUCACAUAGUUUCUUUUACUCAUUUUGAUUCAAUAAAUAUAUGAAAAUAUGAUUUCAUAUUAUAAUUUGACAAUCAUUUUUCACGAUCGACCCAAACUGCUAUAACUUUCAACUUAUCUUUUAUGUUUUGAGUUGUAAUAAAAAUAUAAAUCUAACAUUUUUUUAUUUCAUUAGUUAAAAUACGAUUAUGUUUAAGAGCCUUAGCAUUGCAUGAGCAUCAUUUUUACUUUUACCCCGAUCAAAAAGGAAAAGCGACAGUACUUAACCCAAGCUCAAGCCAUUAUCACUUUCAUAUGAAUGAGUUUCAAAUAAUAAACAAUCUGAACACGAUAUACUCAUUAUUAUUCACAUUAUAUUUUCUACAUUAAACAUUAUUGAUUUUAUGAAGUCAAUUUACUUUAUGAUUGAUAAGAUAAGACGUGUUGCACUUAUUGUCAUCCCACAUAAUAUCACAAUGCUAAAUUCUAGGAGCAGAUUGUUAAUGACAAGGAGAAACUAGAUGAUCUUUAUUACAACAUAUUAUGUGCUAUUUAAAAACUAUCACUCAUUAUAAGUAAAAAAAUCAAAUUAUAUCAUAAUGGAGGAUUAAUUUAAAUUAACAUUUACAUAGUUCAGUGCAUGAUUAAUUCAUACUAUCGACAAAGGUUAUGAACACUAAAAGAUUAAUUGUGUUCUCAUUUAAUAAUCGUGUCACGACAAGACAGUUCAUCACAAACAAUUCUCGAGGGAAAAAAACUAUAAAUUGUACUGCAAUAAUAACAUAAAAGUUGAUUAUUGCAUCAAAUAUAAUCCCAAAUCACCAUAGUGACAUGAAAGUAGACGAUGGAAAAAGAAAAAAUAGCUGGAAACCUUACACCCAUUUCCUUGUCAUAUCAUGAUUGGCAAGAUACCAUAUGCCUUUUUUUUCCAGUGAAUCAUAUAACUUUCCCUAAGGAGUCGCAAUCAUCUCAAUGAAAAAAUUUUGGUUUGACCUCCUAGAGUUCAACUUAGAAGUUCAAAGAUGUCCAUCAAUCCUUUGGAUGACUUCUAGACUCACACAUAAGACAUAAGAAAUUAUGAGGACUGAAUCAGUAAUUGACAAUUUUCAAAGCAAUACUCACAAACUGCCCCUAACAUAUUUUCCUCAUUUGGGGGUAUAACCCAUAUUAUGCCUUGGUUCAACGCCAACAAGCCCACCACCCAUGACCCCAUUGAUUAACUCAGGGCACAUUUACAACAUAACAGGAAAAUGAAUAUAAUCUGAAGAGAGACCAGCAUACAGGUCUUGGAGAAAACAAAAGGUCAAGCCAAAAUUUUUUACCAAAAAUGAAAGAGUCUAAACUGACGAGAAGCAAGGAAAUGUAUAGAGGGAGCACAAGCCAGGAAUGAGGAAUGGCUGAAUCAUCACCCUAUAUAACCUCUUCACGGUGCCAAACAAAGGUGCACCCUAAAACAUACAGUAACGAUGACAGAUAGUCAACGCCUCAACGGCUCCAAUCCAAAGUUGAUGAGCCACCCUGCUCUGGACUGAAGCUCGAUAAAUAUAUCAUUUCGUCCGGUGAAAACCAUUCAGCCGGGCCAUUUCCGUGAAGCAUCUCAAAAUUUUCUCGAGUAAUAAAUUGCGGGGAGAAGAGAAAAAGGGAAUAAAAAUGGGGAUACGACGGAACCGAUGAGCCCUGUCAAUCUGCAAGGUACCUCCGUUUCCUUGUGGAGUUCAUGUAAGGCCUCAGGACCCACUCAUCCUGAGCUUCGCUCUGAUCAUGGGUUCCUAAUUUGAUCUGGGCAUGCACGAGGCAUGUGGGUUUAGUCAACUGCCUUAAAAAGUAUGAAAGGUAUGAAGGAAAAAAUAUAAAAAUUGGGAUCGAUAAAGUCACCUUGUAAAGAAGCAGAUCAAAUCUCGGACCAACCUCCUUCAGUUCUAUUGAUCCAGGCCCUCCCUGCUGCUGGUAAACAUGAUGCCUGCAAGUGAAAUCCUGUGAGACCAUCAUUGUUGAAGAACCUGCAGCCUUUUGGUGGCAGAGUCUGCAGAAAGUUCAGGAUGAAAGGAGAAAGAAGAAAGCGGGAGACCAAGGCCAGUCCCAGAAAUGCAACCGUAAAUCUCAAUUCACCCGUUUUGAAAGGCACACAGGGAUCACUCAUAUGGGCCAAUAUAUUCACUGUUAGUCAGCACUCCUGUCAUUCCCAUUUGACAAGAUUCUCCCCUGAGCCAAUCACUUGAUCUUUAUUCUCGAAACAGGUGUACUUACUAAAUAUUUACAUACCUGACUGUAUACUUUAUGAGGGGACAAAAAAUAGAUUGACCAACCUGAAGACGAUAUAAUCAGACUGAUUUACAAAGGACAAAAUGCGUCGAGAAUCAGGCUUCGGCACUGGGAAAAGGUGCUUGAGGAUGUUUGCUGUUCUCUGACCCAGCUGCAAAAUUUCCGUAAUGAAGGAUGCGUUACUGGACAAAUAAUGCGGAAUUCAAAGGAAUAAUAAAUACGCAGCACAAAGUUAUGGAAACGCAAAAGGAGAACAAAAACUUAGAGAUCUGUCUGUUUUGGAAUUUGAAACCAUAAAAAAUAAGAAGCAAAAAUAUCUAGAACUGAAUUUAGAACUAUUCACGAAACACAUUUUACAAUGAAAUGAUCAAAUCAUUGCAAAGAGAAGAACCACGUUAAUUGCAACUUUCAACAGCCACCUCUGUAAACUGCGGAUCAGAAACUUACCAUCAUUCUAAUAUUACGAGAUCCUACAAAAUUAAAAAGAAUAAUGUCGAAAUCUAAUAAUUCAGAUCUGGAACUGCAACCACCAACUAAUUAGAGUAUUAGUUGCUUGCUGACAUUUGGACUUUUUUCGAUUGAACAAGAAACCAUUCCUCGUGAUAAUUUCAAGAAAUCCAUGCACAUGUGCGGCUGCUACAGACAAUCUCAAGGAUAUGAUAUUAAUCGCAUUUACUAUAUGAUUCCAUAAGCAUAGAGUAAAUGAGCAAACAUAGACUCAGAAAAAGAAAUAUGUUAGAUACUCUGAGCCACCCUACCUUAGUUGAAAAGUUGUGAAGAACUAAAUGAGGAUAAACCUCAGAGACUUUUCCUAUAGCUUUCUUAUCCUUAAUAUCAUGCCUCGUAACCUGAAGGUACAAAUUAAUGACUCCGUUACCACAAGAGAAAAUAGAUUGGUCAAAGGAGUAAUAAAACUGUUCAUUCAACUUACCACAUUGGAUAAUCCAAAAUAUGCUGUUGGGCCAAAUGGUAAAUGACAGACAACUAAGCCAUCUGGCUUGCCACGAUGCUCAUGCACUAAGAUGACAUCAGUAAAAUCACUUUUACGAGCAGCUUCAAUGAUUUCUGAAAUAACCUGCCAAGAAAAAAAAGGCCAAACCAAAACUGCUUAACAAUAAACAGAGGAUGACAAUUUGAUAUGAAUAAUUUUUUUUACCAGAAGAUUUAAACAAGUGCUAGAUGGGGUUAAAUGGAACUCCAAAAACACACUGGAAGACCACAAAGGGAACAACAGAUACUACGAAAAACGAUACAGGAACUCGUUCCUUUUCUGAGGUUACUGAGUGAGGGAACUCGUUAGGAUACCCCCACGGACUAUCUGUUUAAUGAUAUACAUUUAAGUAUUUUCCACCGACACUUACCCACAAUAAAUUAAAAACUUCUCAAGGAAAAAAAUCACCCCGAAGAGUUUGAAACCAUCCAACAUGGCACAUGACUGGAGGGGAUUCGGGUACUGGACAUUUAAUUGAUGAAACUAUGAAAGAUGCAGCAAGGGUGCAAAAUUUAGAUGGUUUCGAUGUUAUUUCUUAAGCAACCUCAUUCUGUAUUCUAAUUGGAUAUUUAGAGAUAUUAAGCCAUCAUUUUACUGAAGGACGAACCCAUCCAGCCCACGGGAAAAUCCUAUGAGAGAAAGAAAGUAACAGUAAUUAUCCUUGAAUACUCCAAAGAGUAAAAAUGUAUGUUUUCGACGAAAUAUAACAGGAAGUUAUUAAUAUUUCAUAUCAGUAUAUCCUCAGUGACAUCACUGAUCAUCUUUGGUUGUUUCACUGAAAACAUAGCGUCUUGAGCUGAGCACGAUCAACAAUGAACACAUUAAGCCACUUGAUUGACUCAAGACAUUGUUUAUCCAAAUCCUGUUAACCAGAUUACUAUUGGUCAUAGGUACAAUUCCUGAUAAUUCAGAGAGAUAGUAAGCUAAAAAAAAGAAAAAAAUUAAAUCUAUAUUUUUUUCCUCAAAAGAAGUGGGAAAUAGAGGAGCAGAUACACCAAAGGGUAGUCAGAGGAUACUAGUAAACCUUGUUCUCUGAAAUGCAUUUUAUUAUUGGAAAUUAAGACUAAUAUGAAACGCAUUCUUAAAAGACCCACAGAAAGUUCACUGGACGUUUAAAAUUAAAUGAAAUAAAAAUAGAAGAAAGAGCAUCAAAUUGGAAACUGCUAGAGUGCAUCUUGACAAUACAAAGCACGACACCACAGUCAUGCAUAAAGACACAACUACAGCAGACAUUCAGACGCAGCAUCUAAAAAAUAAGAAAUGUAAAAGAAACUACAAAGGUUUACCACAAAUAUGAUUAAAGAUGAAGUGCUUUGAUUCUACCAACCUGACUUCCACGAUUCAUUCUUUGCGAGUUAGGAAAGAUCAACUUCAGUUCCUGUGCCAAUAACAAUGGAGAAAUCAAUCCUAAUGCUGGACGAAACGAACAGUGCGAGAAGAAUUAUCAGGAGUUCAUUGGGAUGGAUUCGAUAAUGACCUUAGCAAACUGAGUAAGGGGCUGACUUGGAUCUCGGGAUGUGGUGAGCAGAAUUUUUGGGUCCUUCUCAGACGCAUUAGCAUACUCAUCAUCUUCGUGGGUUCUCGGUACUGAAUCCAUUAAUUUAAAAAAUAAAAUCGUAUUAGGUAGCUCUAAAGUCAAUAGUGGAUUCUGUUUGUAAUAUGCCAAUAUUCGCCUAGGAACGAGAAGGAAAAAGGUGAAGUCUUUACGUGACCACAAAUAAGCAGUGUAAGAUAAAAGAAAAGUAAUAUAUAUAAUAGAACAUUCAGGAGUUUCCAAUUUAUGCAGCUGAAUCCAGCAUAAAAUCUGGCAUUCGCCACGCGGACGCAGGCUACAUCGGAAGGAAUGCAAGCAUGACACGGUUGAACACACUGUCUGUGUCUGACAAAGAUGGAGAAACCCGAACGCAAAUAACUAGUAGUGAUUAUACGGAUAAUGGACUCUAAGAGAAGCUCCACCCGAUGCUGAAACAUCGAGACAACAAAACGUACCAUCAAUCGACUAAAAUAAACACACAGAAAUGUUCCCUGGCUGAACAAAAACAUAAUUUGCGCACAUUCUUAAAAGGCGGGAGGGGAAAAACAAACACACCUGCGGUUUGCUCGUCUUCAAGAUCUAUCUCCUUUCGAAGUUCAGCUUCCUCAUUCCUGAGCUCUGUCGGGAUAGGCUUCUCCUCUGCCUCAUCGACAGAACACACCAGAAACAGAACUCGGUCAGAGAGAGUGAGCGAAGGAGGGGGGGGGGGGGGGGACAUGAGCGAAUCUAAACGGUGGCGAAAGCAAGCCUUAUACCGGCGAUGGCCUCUCUGAUCUUGCGCUUCUUAUCGUAGAGGACGCGCUCCUUGGCCUCGAGGUUCUUGCGGUAGAGGUACUCCCUCCUCUCCCUGAUCGUCCUCCGCAGCAUCCUGUUCCUUCUUCCACGGUUCCGGCCUCCGGCGGAACCAAGUCCGAUUCCUCUCGUCUCCGCCUCUUACUCCCGCCAAAACCCCAGGGGGCUGAUUAGGUCAAUUAUUUUAUAUAUAUAUAAUUUGAAAAAUAUAUUUCAUUAAUCAACACGCGCCUGUAGCUCAGUGGAUAGAGCGUCUGUUUCCUAAGCAGAAAGUCGUAGGUUCGACCCCUACCUGGCGCGGGCUAAUGUGACCGGCGCUCAUUUUAAAAUCAAUAUCUCGAAUUUUUUUAGGUUGGGUCAACGGGACGGUGCGGCCCCCUAGUAAAGCCCGGCCCACGCAUCCCAAGUGCCCCCCACUACCACCUCAUCCAAGAAUAUUAAAAAAAUAUAAGAAUCAUCUCGGCGUUUAUAAUAAAAUUGGAUUAAUUUUAUUAACAUUAGGCUCCUUCUGGGGUUGGUUUCUUUUUGUUUAUGAGCUUUAUUAGGGGGCCUAAUUUUUUAAAAAAACAUGGCGUCACGGGCUCUGGUUUUAACGGGCUGAGGGCCUAGCUCUCCUGCUGUGGAGUCAGAAUCAGGCGUUACAGGACGACUCCCUGGGAGCACUUCCGCCCGUUUUCCGGUAGAGUGGCGGCGGCGGCAGAGGUAAUCAUGUCGUUCUUGCUCGGUCCUCGGCCGGCAGGGGCGGGUGCGGAGGGUCCUCUCUAUAGUCGCCGCUUUCUUUCUUCAUCUUCUUCCCCAAAUUUUGUUGGAGAUCUGGCUUUCCCGACCGGGUUUUCCUUCCGUUCCUGUUCCAUCCCCGAGAGAACUUUCCCGCUACGGUGGACUGCGCCGGUGGCGCGGCGUCUCCUCCCACUCUUCUCUCUCUCUCUCUCUCUCUCUGGCCUAUCUUUUUAUCUCUACUGCCCGUCGCAUUCUGCUCUGCUUCUGGUGGGGGAGGUCUCCACUUCUGCCCGCCUGCGUUGGCGAAUGUUAUUCAUUGCGUAUUGUUCAGUUACUUACUAACGUGUGUAUUUUAAUUUCUUAGUGAGCAGGAAGGAGAGGGUGGCUCCGAUCUUAGGCAGCCUCUCGGCUGUGGAGUCGUCUUCUCUUCCAUCUGUGCGCUGGGGAUCGCUUUGCUGCGGAGACUCAGCAAAGGCAACCUGUUUUGCUAAUAUAACCUAGGAAAGAUGAAGGUGGUAGCGCUAGUUAGUGGGGGCAAGGACAGCUGCUACGCCAUGAUGAGAUGCAGGGACUACGGCCAUGAGGUGGUGAUCAUCUUUUUGUCUGUGGAUUUUGUAGUGGAAAAGAAACUCUAUUUAAAUAUUUGUGGGCUUGUUCCUGUAUUGCUUCGUUUAAUAAUUUCCUCCUUUUCUUCCUAAAUUGAUCGUGGACAGAUUGUUGCAUUAGCCAAUUUAAUGCCACUGGAGGACUCCAUUGACGAGCUAGAUAGCUACAUGUUCCAGACUGUAAGCCUCGGCCUAUGACUUACUUUCAAUAGAUCAUACGUUCAAAUAUAAGAGCAGUAGCUGGACGUUGUUGAAAAUCCCAUGGAGGCUUUUAGCUUAAUUGUUCAAGAUACAUUUUUGGAACGAAUCGUCAUUCCUUAUGCCCUAGCAUCGUAGACUUGAGAAGUUCAUAAUUUCGGACUUCUAUGUUUACAUAUGCUCUGCAUUUGUGCUUCCUGGAAACACAAAGUUGGGCUGUGAGGCGCCAAUGCUAUAUAGUAAUAUUGUUUCCGUAUAAUAUACGUUUACAUGCUGUGAAACUUUAUUUAUAUGCCGACAUCAUAGCUUUAAAUUUCAGAUAUCUUCCCAUUUAUGUACGCACAUAUGUUUUCCUUUUUGUCUGAAAGUCUAUGACUCAUUAAACUCUUAUGUUGGGGAACUGAUUUGGGGAUGUGUCCAUAGGUUGGCCACCAGAUUGUAAUUAGCUAUGCAGAAUGCAUGGGCUUGCCUUUAUUUCGAAGGAGGAUAAAAGGCUCCUCAAGGUAACAAUCCGAAUGAUUCUUCCUUUUUCUAAAACAUGAGAACAUGUGUAUUGCUGUCAAGCUCCUCAUUUCACAAGUUAUUUCCAACACGUGCCCCUUCUUCCAAUCAAAGACUUUUAAUUAGCAUGCUCUUGAUCUACAUUUCCCUGCUUUGAUCUUAAAUGUUUUUGAAAUUGUUCAGUCUUGUUCUCAAUAUAUCUGUUUUGACAUGUAAAGUUCAUGCAUUUUGCAUACGUCAUUAAAUUGCUCAUAGUAGUUGCAUUUGGAUGCCUUUUAGUAUCAAUAUGUUACCAACAUACAGGGUCUAUCAGAGAGGCUGGAGAUUGAAGGUUUGGCUGUUCUUUUGUAGAAGUUCGGUGGGAGCCAUUUUCAAUUUAAGUUAUAUCACAUAUUGUGCCACACAGGUUGCCCAAGUCUAUUUGGGUGGUAACGUAUCAGAACUUGAUGCUCCAUCCUUUCAAUCAGGUUCAGGGUUUGAACACAGACUAGUAAUUUGGGACAUGCAACACAUCAACCAAGCCCAUGCCCGUACACAAUUCUCUUCUAUAUUUCUUUUUCUCCCGUGCAGCUUUUUAGUUAAAUUAGCAUUGGCAUAUGCAAAACUGGAUUCAAUGGUUCAAAAAUUUCAUUGUAAAAUUUCAUAAAUCUACAAAAGGUUGGACCGGAUACCUAUUAGAUUAUUUGACGGUAUAGUUGAAGAGUACAUGCAUUCCGAAAGUCAUCUAGGAGAGAAAUCGGAAAUUAUUUGGAUCAAGAAACAUGUUGGUUCCAAGAAAAGAUAUUUCAUAUUGAGAAAAGUGUUAACACCUCUGUCUCUAAAAAACGCAAGCUUUUAAGCACAUUUGUUGUGUUUGUCCGAGUGUUUUGGGUGCAUAUUGAACAUUCCCAAAGGAAGAAAUAAUUCAAUUACUCGAAUUUAUAUGUUGACGAAGAAAUAUUUGGGUUUCAAGUUUUUUCUGUACCCUUAUGCGUGUGUCACUUGUCUGUUUUGGGUUACCAGAAUGCAUGAUAUCAAUAAUAAUGAAAAGAUACUUUAUUAGAGUCUGAAUCUAUCAACUUAUUGGAACUACAAAUCGGCCCACUUUAUCCAUUUCUGCGAGAAUAGCUUUGACUGCAAUGGAUCUAAUGGGAGUUAUGGUGUAGGGGUUGCAUUCGUCAUCUACCCUUUAGUCAAAGCAACAUGUCGUUUGUGACUUAGGUGGGCCUUGAUCAGCUACAGUUCAAAUUUUAAGACAAUAUAUUUUUUUGACUCAUUUUCUUACUGUCAAAUUUCUUCUUCCUCAAACCCUAGAUCGUCAUAACCGCCGCUCCAAGCCCUCAAUUCGGAAAAACACUAUUCUUUUUGAUUCAUUGAUCAGACUCAUAUUAUAUUUGGGUUACAACCGGACCUCAUCAGUUUUGAUCGAGAACCCAUUAUGAGGAUCCAUUAUGACUAAUUGGAUCUCAUAAGGGCAGUACUAUCAAGUAAAUGUAAAGACUUGAAGAAAGGUUAUCAUUUUUGUAAAAUCAUGUUUUUUAAAUUAAUAGGUAUCCUCUAGUUGACAACAACUUACAGAAAUAGUGUUGAAACUUCCAUUAUAGUACCAGCUGUAGAUUUAAAAUUACAACCACCUUAUGGUGCUUGGACUAAUUUUCUGUAAAUAGGUAAAAUAAAUACCAGAGACCUUAAAGGAUACCAGGUGAGAAAAUGCAACAGUUGGACACAUCCUCUUUUCAAAUUUCGGCCAUCAUCCCCAUUGCCUUAGGUAUUUCACUUCCCACCCUCAACUGGGCUUCAUUGAUGACUAAAUGUCAAACUCUUUUGGGCACUUCACGGAUUAGAAAUCGUCGAUUCAGUUAUACAUUUUAUCAUCAGGCAUGCAUUUUGUUUAGGUGAAUAUAGAGUUCACUAUUUCCUGAAAGAGCAGCGGAUCCAUUCAGUUAUAAAUGAGCAGUGAUUCACCCACAGUAGCCUCAGUUGAGAACUGGUUAGAGACAUCAUGGAGUUGUCGUUUUGUUGUUUUGUUAUGAAGCUGUAAAGAGCACAAGCACCAUAAAUCUGUGACAACUGUCAGAUGCUUAUUCUUUUCUUCUUGCCCUAAAAAAAUCUAAUUCCAGGCACCAGCACCUCAACUACCAGGUUACAUCAGGCGAUGAAGUUGAAGAUAUGUUCGUUUUGCUAAAUGAGAUUAAAAAUCAAAUUCCUUCGAUAACAGCUGUGUCUUCCGGGGCUAUUGCUUCGGAUUAUCAGAGACUACGAGUGGAGAGUGUGUGUUCGAGACUAGGCCUCGUUUCUUUGGCUUAUUUAUGGAAGCAAGACCAAACCUUUCUCCUUGACGAAAUGGUAAUUAGUUGAUGCUACUGUAUUGCAUUUACUGGGUCUGUAAGAACAUUGUUUUACCUUUUAUCCUCUGGUACUGUCUAAUUCAUUUUUGUUCUCAACAGAUCAGGAAGGAGAUCAAAGCUAUCACAAUAAAGGUAAAGAUUCUGCUAUUUAGUGAUCCUUAAAAAUUUACGAAGGAUUCUGCAUACUUCUAUUAUCACUGCGUUCAAGUUUAUUUGCAACAUAUAAGAAUACUGUGUACAUUAAGGUUUCUGGUGGAGUAGGUUGUUUAUGAUAAAAAAAUUGCACAUUCACAUUUAAAUCAUGAUUUGUGCCAGAUUGCUGCUUUGAAUUUUCCAUCCACUGUCUUAAAUUAGAGCUUUCAUAGUUUUAAUUUUCAGAUGUUUGGAUGUAAAGGAUGAUUUUACCGGGAGCAUUGGUCACUUGCAUUUUCAUAUAUGGAUAUCCGUACAUAAAUUUGUAAAUAAAGUAUUGACGAUGGAAUGGCUACCUCCCAUACAAGAAAUGGAUUGAAUUUUCAUGAUAAAGUAUUUAAUCAUCACAGAAUAACCUGUUGGAAUUUACCAUACAAUGUUCAUGUAUUUUAAUUUUCAAAGAGUUCCAAUUUUUUUGUUUGUUAACAUUCAGUGAAAUUUGUGUUAUUUCAUUCACGUUUUGUCACUUGUCAAAUUUCAGUCUGCAUCAAGUUUCCUUGUUUCCUAGUUUAAUAGUUUAUUUUGCUUUCAUAUUUAAGAUGUCGCAGAUGUCAACCAAGCCGAUCAAUAAUUCACCCUUGCUAAAACAUCAGUCAAGUGAGAUUAGUUGUUGUAAAAUUUUUUUGGGGUACCUGUGAUGAAUUUCCUAUAUGGACAUUUUUAUUUGGUUAUGUAUUGUCGGUCAAUAAUUUGCUUACAUAUCUGUGUUUAACUAUUGGGUAAGGACAAAUGAAAGGUUUCCUUUUUCAAUCUACAAAGGAUGUAUUUCUUGUGUUAAUCAUUUGAACCUGGAAAAUAUCCCGCUUUUUAUGGGUGAUAUGGAUCUGUCUAGGGAACAAGGAAGGUUUAAGGUUAUAUCACUCAUGCCAUUUGACAGUGGCGGGCCAUGACGUUUGGUUGGUUGGUGGAGGAACAUAUGGUGUAAUCAAUUGUGUGGGAAGAUCUUCACAGCUUUCUGUAGUUCAAUGCCCAAUGUUUUGUUAGACCAGUGGAAAUGCAUUUUUCGUGUAUUAUUUAUUGUUUUGUUCAUUUAAGCCUUUUUCAUGCCUGGUGUCCUGUCAAUCCAACUUUGUUUUUUCUUCUCGUGAGACAUUCUCCUUUUCUUUGCAAAAUCUGUAGGUUGCUGCCAUAGGAUUGAAGCCUUCAAAACACCUUGGCAGGGAUAUUCUGGAACUGCAGGCUCAUCUUCUUAAUUUGAAAGAGUAUGUCAGGAUACAAUAUCAUUCCCGCUUAGAAUUUUCAUUAAAUGGUAUGAGUCUUCCAUUGUUGAGUAGUCUGUGCCAGUGUUCUACCAUAAAAUUAUUCUAAUAUUUGAUUUCAUGUAGAACUUAAUCAAUAAGGUAGUCUGAGAAUGGUUCUUUGAUUACUUUUAGCGAGUAUUGUAUUGACAAUUGCUUUGCUUUCAUGGUAGAAUGUAUGGAAUAAAUGUUUGUGGUGAAGGAGGAGAGUAUGAAACUUUGACUCUAGAUUGCCCAUUAUUCAAGGUAAGUCAUUUCCAUUCGUUAGCCAUCUGAUUUUCAUGAUGCCUCAGUCCUAUUCAUGUAUUCUAGUUUCAUAAAUUGGAAUAAUCUUCAUCAAAGAGAGCUGUAUGAGGGUUAUUCAUGUCUAAAUACGCAUGACACACCAUAUAUAUUACUAUCAUAUCAUAGUUAAAUAAGAUGGUGCGACUAUUUUGGUUUUGGGCUAGUGAUGCAUCAUUUCAUGAAUAAUUUUAAAUCAUAUCCAUUGGAUGGCUCGUGAAUUUCUUUUGAAAGGUCACUGGGCAUGUUUCUAUGCGUCUGAUUUACCUCAACCACUGAUCAUUUCAUGAGUCCUUGCUUCUGUGAGCAAGAUCAAUUUUGAUUGGGCGUGGCUCGUCACUAGCUGUUUUCUAGAUUGCCUCGUUACUGUUCUGAUUUCAUGUUUUUUAUAAUUUUUUUAAAUAUAAUUGAGUGAAUGUGGUUAAAAUAUAAGUAUCACAAAGACUGCUUUCUCCUUCUCCAUCAUCAAUCUAACAUGUGAUUUUGCAGAAUGCUCGAAUCAUCCUUGAUGACUUCAAAGUUAUACUUCACUCAGAGGAUUCCAUUGCUUCAGUUGGAAUCCUUCAUCCUUUGGCCUUCCACCUGGAGAGCAAAAAUGGAAGUUUAUCACUCAGUAGUGAAAGCGGAAGAGUUGAAGUCGGUUUGAACAAAAUUUGUAAUGUGCAUGAAGUGAAAGGAGAUUAUUUAUCCGAAAUGGGUAGAUGCUCGCCUGCCAAUUCAGCGUCCAAUUCCCUCGAUAUUAGGAAAAAGAGUGUAUACAUCUCAAGAACCAAAGGCAACACUUUUUCCAUGGCUUCUUGGGUUCAGAAUUCUUCUCAAACUCCAGAAGGUGAACAGUUAUUGAAAUAAUCAAGAUUUCAGUUUGAACUUCUUAUCAAACGAAAGUUUUCCAUAACAAGUUUUAUGCAUGAAGCAUUGUUCUAGAGUCUCCAUAAUUUAUGUCCUCACCAUCUGAAUUGGGCAGGUCUGCAGGAAGAUUUGACGUCCAUUUUGGGAAAACUGGAGCUAGAGCUGAGUAAAAAUGGCUUUGGUUGGGCACAUGUUUUGUACAUUCACCUGUAUAUUUCUGAUAUGAAUGAAUUUGCACUGGCAAAUGAAGUGUACCUCAAGUUUAUAACGGAAAAGAAGUGCCACAUGGGUGUUCCUUCUCGUAGUACAAUCCAGUUGCCUUUAGCCCAAGUUGGCCGCGGCAAUGCAUCUGUGGAGAUCUUAGUGACAGGCGACCAGUGCAAAAAAGUUUUGCAUGUCCAGAGUAUUUCAUGUUGGGCUCCCAGUUGCAUUGGGCCAUAUAGCCAGGUAAAUUUGAUAUUUCUUUUAGUUCUUUGUAAAUGUCUUUCAAAUAAUCUUUGACCAUAUUGUGCCAUCUAGGUAGCUAUCAUUUUUCGAUUCAUUAAUGAAAUCAUGCAACUUACUUUCCCUUUCAUGCUUGGAAAACUCUUUUCUCUUUCUAAUUCUCCUUACAAGCGUUUCUAUCUAUAGGCAACUGUAUCUCUUUUGUUCAAGGGUUGCCUAUUUAUAGCUGUGAUACAUCACGCUGGCAUGCAUAACCCUUACAAGAUAAUCUUGACACACCUUGGCAUGCAGAAUACCUUGUCAAAGAAAAAUCAUAGUUCAACAUGCAGAAAAUUGAGAUGACGAAUAGAAUGCGUCAUGGGCAGCAUAAGUGAGUGGAAUGAAUCUCGAGCAUCAAUGGCUGAUUGGUCAAGAUUCUUGGUAACUUGAACAGAAAUUGAGUGUGAACUAUGAGUAGUAGUCUCCAAAGCAACUAGAGUGAAUUACCAUACAUAUAAAUCAGUGGCAACCAUGGUUACCCGCCAACAAAAUCCCUUGAGGUAGUGCACCACUUUGCUCUGUCCUACGUACCAAGAAUGUAUGAAAUAUUAUAGAAACUCUUCCUCGCAUAAUUACUAUUAUUGACCACCAAUACUGUAUGGAUGUUGAGCGAGUCCUGAUGUCUUCGUUCUUCCCUUCUUAGGCCACGUUACAUAGAGAAAUACUUUACAUGGCCGGGCAAUUAGGGCUGGACCCUCCCACCAUGACGCUAUGCCCAGGGGGCCCAGCCGCUGAAAUGGAACAGGCCUUGGAAAACUGUGAGGCAGUGGCUAAUUGCUUCAAUGGCUCCAUCGCUUCCUCUGCGAUUCUUCUCGUCAUUUACUGUUCUGCAUGCCUCACUUUAUCCGAGAGGCAGGAAAUUCAGCUGAAGAUGGAGGCUUUCCUGAAGAGUAGAGCAUCUUCUUUGCCUCAUGUGGGCUCCGCAGGCUUACUUGAUCCCAUAUUUCUUUAUGUUCUCGCUCCUGACCUGCCAAAGAGGUACUCCUGCUCGUCUUAACUGGUUUAAAUUUAAGCAUCUUUAAUUUUGUUAUCAUGUUAUACCAUAUCACCUUGUUUUUACAUUGCUCGCUUCCUCUAUCUAUUUCCAUUCUGUCUGUACGAGGGUUGGAGGGGUAGCAAGAUAGAUAGAGCGAGAGGGAGAGAGAGAGAGAGUACUUUCCCAUUAUGUCGUAUAAGAGAUCCAUUUUUUGCUAUGAUGUUGAAACCAAUUCGUUUGUUUCUGUAGAGCACUUGUUGAAGUCAAGCCAGUGCUUCAUAUUCCAGAAGACAGAGAAGCUAUGAUUCAAGAUAGCGAGCUAGAGGCGUCUGCAGCCGGAGUACCAGAGAAUUGGGAUUUUGAGAACUCAAAUUGGCAUGACUCAUGUUGCCAGAAAUGGAUUGUACCCGGCAAGAUAUGUGCAGUGACGGUCUCCAUCACAAAGGAUCUUGUCCAGCAGAUAUGCUCAGGAUUGGAUGAAACCCCGGCAAGCUCCCAGCUCUCCAUUCCCAAGAAAUGCAUUGAAAGGACAUCACGGUUCUGCUUUUAUCUUCUGAGCCGGACCCUUCUGGAGAACCAGUUCCGUUGGGGAGAUUUGAUAGUAAGUUUUUUUAAAUGAUCUUAAAAGCAUUCAUACUACCCUUUGAUGAUGGUUCCCUCCACUUUAUUUUCAUGAAAAAUUAUAGCAAGUAACUAGACACCCAGGCUUAUCAUACCUCCCCCUACCCUUGCAGAGUCUAAGGUUCUACUUCUCAACGGCACUUUGUAUAAACGCCGAAGAGUUGGAGCUCAUAUUGACCCAGGCUAUCUCUGAGUUGACGGAGGCUUCUAAAAAAAGCAGUGAGACGCUGGAGGGGCCCAUAUUUAACCUUGUUCCUGUCCUAAGCUCUGGCGGAUCAGCCUCCAUGGAUGACUUACUCACUUGCGAAUUAUUUGCCUCCAAAACGUGAAGCCCAAGUGGUUGAACCUCCUGAUAUGACUAGUCAUAUGAUCUUCUAGCCAGAGCUGAUAUAAAUAGAAGCAUUAGUGCAGCUGUCACAGGAGUGUCAGAUCUCUUACGAGCAUGAUCCUGCUAUCAUCAGAGGAGAUUAUUUCGCCUUGUCAUUUGUCAGCAUGAUGCCCCAUAAGCAGGUGAGUCAACAAUCUCUCGUUGUUGACCCUGAUAGGUAAUCUUGAUCUUGUUUUAGAAACCUCUGCUGAACAGCGCUGUCAUAUUGUGCUGUUUCUGUUUGCGAUGGGGAUGAUGAUACUCUUUUGGUCGGAUUUAUUCUGCCUGAAACACCCUGAUCAAGUCUCCAGUUGAUCCAUCUUCAGCUUAGGAAAAUGGCAUCAUCAUUCCUUAUAAGUGCAAUCAUAAAAGCCUAAUUCAACCUACUAUGCAUAGAUGACGAUUGAAUGAACAGUUUUCCUUAUGGAGCGUGCUUAAUGAACAGUUCUCUCAUUUGCUUGGCUCUUCACCUACAAUAACAGAGAGGAUGAACCCUGGUUUCCAAUUGCUUGGCUAUUCUAUAUGUAUGUAUUGUGGUGUCAACAGACCUGCCCUUGGCAGUCCAUCCCGAGCUUUCAGCCGCUUUUACAAGAUUUAAUAUCAGAAAUGGACCUCAAAGAUGAUAGACUCAACAUGAGACCUAUAUGAAUCCCAGUUCUUGCCCAAACUUCUAUAUGUUGUUACCGCACAGAGAGAGAGAGAGAGAGAGAGAGAGAGAGAGAGAGAGAGAGAGAGAGAGANNNNNNNNNNNNNNNNNNNNNNNNNNNNNNNNNNNNNNNNNNNNNNNNNNNNNNNNNNNNNNNNNNNNNNNNNNNNNNNNNNNNNNNNNNNNNNNAGAGAGAGAGAGAGGUGCUUACAUAUAUCAACUCCUGAGUUGGUUUCUUGUACCAACUCAGGAGUAGAUUGACGUGGUAUAAAAUAAAAACUCAGGUGUUAGCACUACAAUAUAAAAUAAAAAAAUGGCAAAAUGUUACAGCUUAAUUGCUCUGCAGCAACAGAAAGAUUAGUCAUAUGUGGGCUUCUCCUGAAUGUUUUACUGCUGAGUAUGGUUAUGACUUUUUCGGACAAUCUGACUUUUCAACAAUAAAUGGAAGCACUACAGUCGACCAAUGGCAAUGAUUUUUUAUUGCUUUAGGCAUGAAAGCUAAGGGGAAUGCCAUUCUAUAGAAAGAUGAAACCGCAAUAACAUUUAAUCAAGAGUUCUAUGCUUGAGAAACUACAUUUUUCAUAGCAUUUUUAUGGGACUGCAAGUGUUUUGAUAUCACUUUUGAUAGGUUGAAGCCUUUAUUUCAAUAAAUCAUCAUGAAAAGAGGUAAUAGAACCCAGGGGUGAGACCUCUUCCUCUGGAGAGUGAUGCACACUAGGAGCGCUGUGCUGCUAUAAAUUGUGUUUUCAUGUUUUAGUUUUGUAUGCAUCUUUGUAUCAUCCGUGACUAUUUAAAAAUUCAAUUCAUGCCCCCUCCCCCUUCCUCAGCCUUUCUAACAAUUGGUAGUAGACCCACCCUCUUAGAUGUAAAGUAAAAAUUAUUGAAGAAUAUAACCCAUGUUUAACAUUGUACGAGCUUCCUUUGUAGGUCGUUCUACCAAUAACCCACUUUGUUCAAUGUUAUCAAAAAGUUCCAAGACAUUUUGGAAGACCUAGUAGAGAAACUCUUAUUCUCUUGAAUGCAAAAAAUAUCAACAUUUUAUUUAGUGAAUUGGAUUCCAUGUCAAAAAAUAAAAAAAUAGAUUAACUGGUGCACAUGCACCAGUUUUCAUGAUGCUGCCCACCAAAUCCACCAAAAUGUUUAUUCAAUUAAAAAGCCUGGGUAAGGACUACACAAAGUCAAUAAUUAUUACAAAGAUAUUGUGCUCUAUUUCUCUUGACCAUAAAUGGAAGGUAACAGCUGUGGGUAAAGCAAAAUCCUUUACUAAAAUGCCAUUGAAUCAGAUCAUGGGCUCCUUGCUUAUAUAUGAGAAUGGGCUAAGUAGAGGCUUUGGAGUUAUUCAGAAGAAUGUCCCUAUCUCUCAAAACAAAUGGUCUUAGUUCCUCUAGUGAAAGUGCUGACUAAGGCGCUUGGAAAUAAUAAAUAAGAAACAUUAAAUAAAAAAUGUUUUCUAAACUUGACAUAUCCAAAAGCCUGGUAGCUUGUUUUCAAUGUAAAAGUUAUGCAAAUAAACUAGUUGUCUGCGGGAGAAAAAGGGGAAGCGGAAGGUUCCAACAAAAAAAAAAGAACGAUGAGUGCUUGCGACCACAAGUCUGCAACGUAUCCAACUUGCGUUUGGAAUACAAGAAAGUCAAAUUUGCAACAACACAAAAAAAAAGCGAAGGUUUGUGUUUGAGAUAACCAAAGCUUGAUGUACUAUAUGCACAAUAAAUGUUAUAUUUUAAUAUUGCGGCAUUGUCAUUUUCCACAUACGACAUUAUGGUGCACAACUAUCAUUGGAAUGAAAUCCACUUCGUCUUUCAAUGUAUAAGAGAUUAAGGUACCCUCAAAUAAAGAAAUGUCCCUUCAGGCAGAUUAUUGGCAGUUGUGUUGGGAAAGUAAACUCGCCUCAGUUUAAGUGAUUGCUUAUUGGUAGGCAUCAAUUAUGGUUGUGGAAAUGCUAUGAAUCUUUAAUUUAGACAGGUAAAUUCUUACACUGCUAAAAUAUUAUUCCUUGGACAAGAAUCAUAGUGUAGAACACGUACUCAAUGGGGGACUUUUUUUUUUUCUGUAGACCACCGUUGAUGUGUUUUUGAGUUGAAAGUCGGUGAUAAUGGGGAUAUUGCUGAAGUCUUUGAAAAAAAAGGUAAGCCAUAUGAUAAUGCUUUACAUUAAGCACCUACAUGCUCAUAAGAUCAUGAAACUCGACAAUGCUAAAUGAAAUCAGUUGGUAUAUGAUGAACAAGCGGCUACUAUUACUUGGUUGGCAACAAGUUUCUCGCACAAAAAGAAAAUAAUUCGACCCAUAGCCACUUGGGGGUGUAAAAGCUGUCAAUACAAGGUGCAAUAUGAUCUUUCAGUAAAUCAGGGCCUUGCUCUAAUGCAUUAACUUGGUUCAACCUUAUAAGUUUAGGAUAAAACGAAGUGAACUGAAGAAAACAACCUUUGGCGCAUGCUAGCUGACUCACAUGGCUCACACUGCAUGGGAGACAUCGAGGUAAGAACACACGAUGACAUCGUUCAAAGGGCAAGAUAUAGAGACAUUUUUUUCCUUGUGUGUAGAAAAAAAACAAAUAGACAUCGCGUGUUUGACCGGUGCUCAAACUCUCAUAGUCCGCCUCAUUCUUACCCAAGCAACAGAAGCACAGUUUAACCUUCAACGAAAAAAAAUCUCACAAAAGAAAUGGGUCUAACACUUGUUGACAUCGGGGCCAGCCACUAGGCGUAGUCUUUGCUGGGUGGGUAACUUGGGAAGGCCACAGGCCACACUUGGCACGAUUAUGCAGAAAAUAAAGCAAUCAAAUUAGGGCUUGCAAGGUACUCAAUGAACAGGACUUAUUAUGCAAGAGGAAGACGACUGGCUAAAAGUGGUGGGCAGGGUGACCUGAGGUCUGAUCGGUAUUACUUCUCAAAUCAUUGCCUUGUAAAGGUAGAUGGCAAAGAGGCUCAAUUCUCUCCAUUGCUCAAAGGGUGGGUUCUCUGUUCUUCAACCAAAAUCUCUAGUUUCCUUCCCAGCCGGGGAACAGACAGGUCCGGUCAUUUUCCUUUACAGUUUCAUCACAGUCGGUCCUUUCACUUUAACGACAAAAACACAGAUGGACUAAGACAACAUUAUAUCACAGACGAGGGUUGAUACCUUGGCGGGUGAAGCCCAAGUGCGCAAAAAGGUCCACCAGAAUCCUUGAUUUCCUCAGAACGCAACGCAAUUUACACAAAAAGAAUGAAACUUUCACACAACAACAGCCAUCAACAGCAAGAACAACCAGAGAAAUAGAAAGACGGAGAGAGAGAGAGAGAGAGAGAGAGAGAGAGAGAGAG
rnacentral:lncRNA from 1 species